UUGGGCGGGCUGGGCUUCGUACACUGCUGCACUAGGAAGUUGAAAUAAACAUUUAUCCCAGUCUUAUUCUUAAUAAAUUUAAGCUAACUUUAAUUGAGCUAUUAUUUUUUUUAAUUUUUUAAAUUAUUUUUACCAGCAAAUGAAAGAGAGAAAUGGAAAAAAAAAAAAGAAUAAGGAGUGCAUCAAAUUUUUUGUGCCGAUCUGCAGCACCAGGGGAUGCGACGCCUGAAGCAAAGAAGUGAGGAGCAGCUCCAUGUCGAGAGUGCUGUCAUCGACAGAUGAUGGAAGGUGAGGGAUAUUUGUCACAGAAACAUCAUUUCUUUGGUACACACCAAAAGAAAAUGGCUAAGAACUGUGUAACGAAGUAAAGGCAGUAUUCAGACUGUCUACAAGAACUGCUCAGCUUGAGUGCUGCCAUGUUUCCAGGCAGCCCCUGGCCCAGCAGGAUAAUUCAGAGCACCUGAGGUAGAUAUCUCAAUUCCUAACACGGUUGGUAUGAAAAUGUGGUCACCUCUGAAAUCAUUCAAAGCAGCUGGGACCUUAUCUCUCUCCACUGCCUGAGAAGGUCACUGAAACUCCCACCCACCAAUCACCUGGGAAACCUCUCAGUUUAGAUCUGAACAAGUGCUGAACCUCAGUCACCUUCAUCCACUUGAAAUCCAGAGCACUGAGUCCUCUCUUGAGAACAAGCAGCUAAUGAUGGAGGAGGAAGAGGCAGCAGCCACUUCAGAAUAACUUCAUUGUUUGAACACUCUUACAAGAAGUGGGAAACAUGGAUUUUAAGCCUUUCUCAGACUGAAGGGGUUUGAACCGCAAUUCCCUUUUCCUCAGAGCUUAUCCUAUCCAUCGAGCUAGAGAAGUUCUUCAUUCUACUCACUAUGCGAGGCCACAGAGCAGAGAGAGAAUAGGUAAGAGGGAGCUUGAUUUUGCAGCCUAUUGUUGAGGGCAACCAUGAGAGAGUCCUGAGGCUUGGUCCCAGCUGUCACUGCUAUUUAAGCAUUCUUUACCGUUAAUUUUUAAUACAGGCACUCAAGCAGUCAAGCAACCAUGGCUGGCAAACUGUAUGGGUUGUGCUGUUUAAAUUCUGCCUGAAUUUGUACUAAGCACUAAAAACAUGUGAGCCGCCUACUGCCCUAAUCCCUGAACUUCUCGCACCCCAUGAUAAGCGCCUGAGACUGUAGCAGCGGAGUUGUCUAAUUAAGAAUAGAGCUGUUCAAGGUCCUCAGCAAAGAUAGCUGAAAGAGAAAGGAAACUCCAGAGGAGCAAUGAGUCUGUGCAUCAUCUGAAUCACAUUCUGGAAGCACCUGCUCUUCUAUAUUGAUUGCAAACAGAGACUAUGAUGUCAGCAUUCCUCAAAUAAGACUCUCAGGAAAAUUCAAUAUGCUCAAACCAUAUUUUGGGAUAUAAUUUCUUUCACCAGUCCAUUUGCUGUUAUUGUUGUUAUUUUCCUCUCCAUCUCUGAAUGGUGGAGGAAGAUACAGUGGAAUUGUCUAGGCACCACCUAAGUGCAAAAAAAUGCAAUUGAGCAACAGUUCUUCAUGGAAGGAUUUUAACCUUCUCUUUGUUCCAGGGAAGUAAUCCAUAGCAAAAUCCUCACUCCUUCAUGUAGUCAGCACACCAGGAAAGGAUACUAUCAGAUAAUGCUUCAUAGGCAGGCCUGACAUGCAAAGUCAAUCAGUCCAUCUACCUACUUUUUAUAGCAAGAAAUAUGUCUGCUCAGUGAAGCCAUCUGACAAUUUCAAAAUGUAAACUGCAUUCAUCAUGCUCUCAUUUAUUUUAUUUUACCCUAGAACAUUUUCGUAAUUUGAAACAGUGGUUCUCUUAUGAGCAAGAAGUUAUAGAAGGAUAGCAACAAGGUGCAGUACUGAUGGACUGCCUGUGUAGUUACAUAAUGCUGAGAUCUGUAGAGAUCCCUUUUGAGGUAUAUCUAUAUUGGGAUGCCUGUAUUGCAGAUGGGAAUAAUUCUGGGAUUGUGAGAUCUUUUUGCCCCAGACACUACGUCUUGCUAUUUGCUUCCAAAAUCACUUAUCAUUAUUAUUAUUAUUUUAUUAUUAUUAUUAUUAAUAAUAAUAAUAAUAUUUUCUGGGGCCUCAUGCCAUUAUUGUGUAAGUAGUGCUAGCAAAAUCAAAAUUAGGAUGCUAUAGAUCCUUUGGGGUUUCUUUUGGUUGUUUGGUUUGGGUUUCUUUUUGUUUGUUUUUUUUUUUUGUUUUUGUUUUUGUUUUUGAGAUGCGCCCUUUUGGACAUCUGAGUGGAGGAACAGCACUUUGUAAUCCACAAUAUAUAAAACAGACACUUGAAAUAUUAUAGUUGUCCUCCGUCCUCACCAGUGGUAAUUGGCCUGUCCUUCCAGUUAUGCUGUUGAAACAAACUGAAUAAAGACUGUAUAACUUGA